AGCUUAAUGUGGUUAUUUUAAGUGAUUCCUGCCCAUUGCUGGAGUAAAAGGCCGCAGUACCUUGACUGUGCUAAGGUAGCGAAAUCAAUAGACUUUUAAAUGAAGCCCAGAAUGAAUGGAAAUACGGAGGUUAGCUGUUUCUUUUUUAGGAUUAACUUUGUUAGAGGGUGAAAAUACCCCUAUGUAGAUGAAAGACGAGAAGACCCUGGGAUCUUUUAAGUGUUUUUUGUUGGGGCAACACUAAAAAAUUCUUUUAGAAUAUGACUUCUAGUCAGCGAAGGUUUGUAUAAGAUACCCCAGGGAUAACAGCAUAAUUGAGUUUUAGCUUAUGACCUCGAUGUUGGACUAGGGGUUUUAGGGCUAGAAGCCCAAAAAAGGUGUUCUGUUCGAACCUUUUCUCCUACAU
rnacentral:rRNA from 1 species